UAGCGGCGAGCGAACGGGGAUGAGCCCAGAGCCUGAAUCAGCAUGUGUGUUAGUGGAAGCGUCUGGAAAGGCGCGCGAUACAGGGUGACAGCCCCGUACACAAAAGCGCAUGUGCUGUGAGCUCGAUGAGUAGGGCGGGACACGUGGUAUCCUGUCUGAAUAUGGGGGGACCAUCCUCCAAGGCUAAAUACUCCUGACUGACCGAUAGUGAACCAGUACCGUGAGGGAAAGGCGAAAAGAACCCCGGCGAGGGGAGUGAAAAAGAACCUGAAACCGUGUACGUACAAGCAGUGGGAGCCCCACCACUAAGCCAGUGGUGAACUCCACAUACGCAUCCUUUGCUGAGGAUACGGUUAACGGAGCGAAAGCGACGUUCAACCUCAAAAGAAGCAGAGGGGGCUUAGUGGUGGGGUGACUGCGUACCUUUUGUA
rnacentral:rRNA from 1 species